GGAGGAAUGGCAGAGUGGUCGAAUGCGGCAGUCUUGAAAACUGUUGAGGGUCACACCUCCGGGGGUUCGAAUCCCUCUUCCUCCGCAA
rnacentral:tRNA from 16 species